GAUGAACGCCAGCUACAGGCUUAACACAUGCAAGUCGCGGGGCAGCAUGGGGGUUGCUUGCAACCCCCGAUGGCGACCGGCGCACGGGUGAGUAACGCGUAUCCAACCUGCCCUUCACCACGGGAUAACCCGGCGAAAGUCGGACUAAUACCGUAUGUUGCCCAUUGACGGCAUCCGAUUUGGACGAAAGGUUUGGCGGUGAAGGAUGGGGAUGCGUCCGAUUAGCCAGACGGCGGGGUAACGGCCCACCGUGGCUACGAUCGGUAGGGGUUCUGAGAGGAAGGUCCCCCACACUGGAACUGAGACACGAUCCAGACUCCUACGGGAGGCAGCAGUGAGGAAUAUUGGUCAAUGGGCGUAAGCCUGAACCAGCCAAGUAGCGUGCAGGAUGACGGCCCUAUGGGUUGUAAACUGCUUUUAUGCGGGGAUAAAGUGGCCCACGUGUGGGCUUUUGCAGGUACCGCAUGAAUAAGGACCGGCUAAUUCCGUGCCAGCAGCCGCGGUAAUACGGAAGGUCCGGGCGUUAUCCGGAUUUAUCGGGUUUAAAGGGAGCGUAGGCCGCGCCUUAAGCGUGUUGUGAAAUCCGGGUGCUCAACAUCCGGCUUGCAGCGCGAACUGGGGCGCUUGAGUGCGCUGAAAGUAGGCGGAAUUCGUGGUGUAGCGGUGAAAUGCUUAGAUAUCACGAGGAACUCCGAUUGCGAAGGCAGCCUACUGUAGCGCUACUGACGCUGAUGCUCGAAAGCGUGGGUAUCGAACAGG
rnacentral:rRNA from 1 species